AGAGUUUGAUCAUGGCUCAGGAUGAACGCUAGCGGCAGGCCUAAUACAUGCAAGUCGAGCGGUAACAGGUGUAGCAAUACAUGCUGACGAGCGGCGCACGGGUGCGUAACACGUAUGCAACUUACCUUUAACUGGAGGAUAGCCGCCCGAAAGGGUGAUUAAUACUCCAUAACAUUAUGAAACAGCAUUGUUUUAUAAUUAAAGCUCCGGUGGUUAAAGAUGGGCAUGCGUCCGAUUAGCUAGUUGGCGAGGUAAAAGCUCACCAAGGCUACGAUCGGUAGGGGUUCUGAGAGGAUAUACCCCCACACUGGUACUGAGACACGGACCAGACUCCUACGGGAGGCAGCAGUAAGGAAUAUUGGACAAUGGAGGCAACUCUGAUCCAGCCAUGCCGCGUGAAGGAUGAAGGUGCUAUGCAUUGUAAACUUCUUUUGAACGGGAGAAAACCCUCGGUCGCGCACCGAGGCUGAUAGUACCGUUAGAAUAAGGGUCGGCUAACUUCGUGCCAGCAGCCGCGGUAAUACGAAGGACCCGAGCGUUAUCCGGAUUUAUUGGGUUUAAAGGGUGCGUAGGCGGAACGGUAAGUCAGUGGUGAAAGCCUGUUGCUUAACAACAGAACUGCCAUCGAUACUGCUGAUCUUGAGUACAUAUGAUGUGGGCGGAAUGUGCCUGUAGCGGUGAAAUGCUUAGAUAUGGCACAGAACACCGAUUGCGAAGGCAGCUCACAAAACUGUUACUGACGCUGAGGCACGAAAGCGUGGGGAGCAAACAGGAUUAGAUACCCUAGUAGUCC
rnacentral:rRNA from 1 species